ensembl:lncRNA
CCUUCAAGUCCACCUGCUUCUCCCCUAGAGACUGAGGAAGCAUGCAGUGAGUUUAGUGUAAUCUCUCAGAAAAGGCUACAAAUUUGAGCAAGUGGAAGCACCCUGCCCAAGCCAGGUGGAAGUAAAACAUGAGUAAACCAUGCAAACCCACACUGGGAACAUGAAGAACUACUUGGGAGAAGCAACCCCAGGCUUGAUGAGAAGAGCACACAGUCCCAAGGACCAAACACCUCUUUCCAGCUUGCUCUCAAGUGUCUUGCUGGAUGCCACAUGGGCUCUAGGCUGUGACUGAUGUAUGAGGACUGUUCCAGAAGUAAUGCUUACUAUUACGUUACGUUGGCCCACAACAACAGAUGCGGAUGUUGGUGGUAUGGCAUUAGAGGUCAAACCUUCCCAUCAACUGUGAAGCGUAACCUUCUGCUACAUUUUGUUGCCAUAUGACAGAUUGCAACAGAGGGACAACCUAACAAAAUGGCAUCUGACAUGGAUAUGAAUAUGGAACAAAAGCUGUGGAACUGAAUUCGUUCACACACACAAAAAAAAAAAAAAAAAAAAGGGGCACACAUUGACAUACAUUAUCACUUGCUGAACACUGAUAGAAACCGCACAGCAAGCAUGAACACAAUGAGGAAGUGGGUGAUCUAUUUCAGUAGUGAUGACAGCAACGUGAAUGACAAUCCAUAUUCUGGAUAACCACGCAAGUUUUUAUGAUCACUACAUGCAGGCUCUUAUUCAUUGCUGACAAGAAUGUACAGCUAAUGGUAGUGACUAUGUUGAGAAAUAACGUUUCAUAGCUCAGAACUUGCUCUAUCAUGUAGUAUUAUUGCACUCUUUGGAUCUAUUGUCAUUUCCAUAGAAAUAAGAGGUGGUCAUUUUCAGAGUCAACUACAAAUAUAGGUACUUCUAUAGGGAAAAAAUAUAUAUAUUUUGAAGUUUCCUUAUCAGAUGAAGAAUGGACCCUUAAAACAUUUUAGAAGCAUUCUAAUUUUUAUUUAGAUUUUAAUUACAAAAAAAAAAAAAGAGAGAGAGAAAAAAAACAGUAUAGUAACUACACAUCUUUUUCUACCCAUAUGUUUAUCUGGUAAAACAACAUGCUGCUUCUGACAAAUUCUUUGCAAUACCAGUCAAAGUACUUUUAGGAAUACCAAAAGUCAUAUACAGGAAAAAAGUUGACUCACCCAGCUAAUGAUGAGUGUCUCUAGCUGUACAGCAUUCUUUCUCUGAGAAUAUCCUUCUUCUAGGAGACAUUCCCCCCUUCAGAGACUAGUCCUUAAUGAGCCCGGGGAGGGUGGACCCAAAGUCCAUGCCUUCACAUCACCUGUGAAACACAUGUGAAUUACUUGCACCUGUGCUUUCUGGGUCAUCCAUACCCCUUCACCAGGUGCUCAAUCAUUAGUUCAAGCCAUGGCCUAACAGUUCCCCUACACUGUACUUAUCUGUAAAACAUUUCUGUAUUUGAAAAUAUUCACAAGUCCUGAAACAAAGGAUAUUUAACUAUAUUGUAAAGCUAGUAGCAUCAGAAAAUUCCAGCUGAUGUUUAGAUUAAACAAGUGGCAACAAACUUUAGCAGUGUGCACUCAAAUCUAAGCUAUAAAAUCAUUUGCCUUAAAACAACAGCUGUUAUAAACAAAGUAAUACAAAAAUAAAAUAAAAG